AUGUGUGUGCGCCGGCGGCGGCGAGCGGCCUCCGAAGCCGGUGUAUGCGGGUUCGAAUCCCGCCGCCCAUG
rnacentral:tRNA from 1 species